AGCCAGGCUGGCUGCGGACGGCUGAAGCUGCAGGGCCGGGCCGGCGCUUGGACUGCGCCUUUGGCAGGGAGCCGGGCCCGGGAGGGCACAGGACCCGAGUCCCCAGGCCUGUCCUUGAUCACAGGCCUCCCGAGCAUCACAGCCCUCAUGUGAUACGAUGUUCCCUAACCUGGAUGUACACGCAAGCCGGGGGUUGGCAAAGGGAAGAAACUCAGGGCUCUCUGGGGAUGAGAUGUGAAAGUGAGAGCAAGUCCUUGCCAUCCCCACCUCCAGAAGACGGACCAAGCCUCUGAUGGGCUCAAGCACUCACCCAAGGUCUCAUAGGUGAUGAGCUGCAAAAGAAUACUCACGUGGGAGUCAGUGAUCGGUGAGAGGACAACAACUUCCACACCUGCCUCAGCAUCAGUGACUGGAUCUGGAGGGGCCAGGAGAGUCAGGGGUUCAGGUUAUCCCUCAUGCCUGAGUCCCAUCCUGGCUUGGAAUCCUGCCUCUGAGUCCUGGAGAAAUGGAGUGGAGUUGGAAAACCUGGAUUCAGGUGCCAGUAUGUCCACGUGAACAUGACUCUGAAGCUCUGGGAGCUGCAGCAUCCUCACCAGUGGACUGGACAUCAUGAUACUGGCGGCCAUCACGACUCUGUCGGAUGCCCUGUGCACAGGAGAGAUGUGGUAGAGACACACCCUCAGCUCAAAGUGCUUUGAAGGUCAGUAAUUUCCACUCCUUUUCAAAACAACAGCACAGUUCUUCUGGGACCCAAAUGUUGAUUCUCUUCACUGAAAAAUGAGUCUUCUUCAACAGCAAAUGCAUUCCAGAAAUAUUUAUCCAGCCUUAAUGGACAGGACAUUCAAGAGUGACUGAAGACGAACCAAGCCGGAUCCUGUCCCCAGGCACUCCCCCAGCAGGGCUCAGUCGGCCUGUGCCACACAUCCAGGGGACAAGGCCAUCAGUGUGCGCCUCUCUUGGGCCCUGCAUGUGGAACCAUGGGAACCUCAAGGAAGGUGUCACCACUGGGUGAGAUCAAGUUAAUUAAGGAAUGUGAGCUAAGUACUGAAGGAAGAGGUGGAUUUUGAUGGACACAUGAUUAGGGAGGGGUAUACCAGAUGGAUAAACUGGUUGGCCAUGGGAAGAUAUUCUGAACAAGAAGUUAACAUUUUUAAGGAGAAUGUUUGCAAGUUACAGCUUGCAGAAUUUAUUGUACUAUCAAUAAAGACCAACGCCAUCUGCCCUCAAAGGCAUCCAGCCCUGCUUAGAGAACUUGUGGGGCUUCGCCUGGGCUUGUGGUAUGAGUUGGGACUUCUUUGACAAAUCACCUUUUGGAAGCACUGGCCUGUUCCAGCCACUAUAUUCCUUUCCUGAGGAGGGUCUAGGCAAGCCCAAGGGGACAGGGAGGCGUCAGAAGCAUCAGCCCCAUAAGCAGAAAGGUUUGGAACUAGUUAGACAGAUUUUGGCUCAGACUCUGCAGGGCUGGGGUAAGCUAUAUAGGCUCCUUGACUGCUCCUUGACUUAUAUCACACUGGAAGGAUGGACUUACCACCAACUCCUGGACGGGCUCUCGAGACUACUCAGAAUACAGAGUCAUUGUCCACAGGGUCUUAGAGUCACUGGGGGCCACCACACUGCCUUAGUGAUAGGAAUUAACUCAACCAAAGCCAAACUGGUCCUUUGAGCUCUGCACAUGGUGUCUGUGGCCUACCUGUUCCCCAGUCUCCGGUCUUGCUAAAUUAGCUCCUUUCCCUUAAAGAGAACUGGUCUGAGAGAAGACAGCCCCUCAAGCACCAUGUCACUGUGUUACAAGCUCUGUACCAGGAAAGUCGUGGUAUAGGCCAGGGCUGUUCCUGGGCUGGGAGGCAAGGCAUCCGGCCCCUGUCUGGUCCACCUCUAACCUGCAACUUUCUGUUGAGGCUGAUUUCAGUGCUGACCAUAGGUAGCCUGGUUUAUCAGAUGAA